GGGCGAUGGUGUCAACAGUCCAGUUAUAGUGAGCACAUCCAACUCCAAGAGAUCCAUUAGUGCAAACUUCGAAAGUAUGCUUUCCAUCAAGCAAUUGCGUGUAAGAAACUUCUCCACCUUCACAAACUACAGGCACAUAAUCAUCCAACUUACAACUAGUUGAACAAUCCGCACAAAUGUCACCAUUACCACCAGCCAAAACUUGAAAAGCAAAAUUCGCAAAAUUCCGGUUUGUGAAUUCACGAGGAGUAGUCAAUAACUUUAAAGUAACGUCUGAG
rnacentral:misc_RNA from 1 species